GCGCAACACUAGAGUGGUACUUCCAAUGCAAAUGUUACAAGCAAAAAUCUUCAGAUUUUCAAAAUUUUGGCUACCAGUACAACCAAAACAAAGACAAAAUAUGCAGCAAAGAGCUAACACUCCUUUUCACCACCUUAACUCUAAUUCUUCAGUUUGGUUAAUUCAGGAUGUAUGUGUCUUCCUCUUCGUGCAAAGAUCCAUUAGCUUACAAGAAUAUACACCUUUCUUCAAGAAUCUCUAGUGCACAGAAAUGGUCUCAUACAAAGCAAAUCUGGCAGUGUCCCCAAUUUUGCUCAUUUCUAAUGUAGAAUCACAUAUGGAUGUCAAUGUUGGCUGAAAAAUGCUCUGUUAUCAUAAUCAAUUGAAGCAGAACUCUGAUCCGCGUUAUUGCAUCUCUUGAAGUGCAUCUUCCUCUAGAAGCUGCGGCAGUGGAUGUUUCAAUGAAGAAGAGCCUAAAAACCCGUUUGUCUCUAGCACCGAUGACCGAACCAUCUUUUCUAUUUCUUCAGAGAGAAGAGGAUU
rnacentral:misc_RNA from 1 species